GUGAAUCAUCAAAUUUUUGAACGCAAAUUGCGCUCUCUUCGGAGAGUAUGCCUGUUUGAGGGUCAGCCUAAAAAAAAAAUCGACAUAGUCGCUGUUUCGCGGUGACAUUCGUCGGAAAUUGGUUCAUCUUAAAUCUUUGGGUUUUAAGUGGCUUAAAAUUUUCUUUACGAUUCCACGAGCGUUUCUAAGAUUUACUUCUUAUACGUUUAAGAUAUAGAUAUUUAUUAGACGUGGACCUUGCAUUAGAUGUCGUC
rnacentral:misc_RNA from 1 species